AGGACGAACGCUGGCGGCGUGCUUAACACAUGCAAGUCGAGCGAGGCCCUCUCUUCGGAGAGGUGCCCUAGCGGCGAACGGGUGAGUAACACGUGGGCAACCUGCCCCUAGCACUGGGAUAAGCCCGGGAAACCGGGUCUAAUACCGGAUAUGACCUUCAAGGGCAUCCUCGAAGGUGUAAAGGAUUCUGGCUAGGGAUGGGCCCGCGGCCUAUCAGCUUGUUGGUGGGGUAAUGGCCCACCAAGGCAACGACGGGUAGCCGGCCUGAGAGGGCGACCGGCCACACUGGGACUGAGACACGGCCCAGACUCCUACGGGAGGCAGCAGUGGGGAAUAUUGCACAAUGGGCGAAAGCCUGAUGCAGCGACGCCGCGUGAGGGAUGACGGCCUUCGGGUUGUAAACCUCUUUCAGCUCCGACGAAGCGAAGUGACGGUAGGAGCAGAAGAAGCACCGGCCAACUACGCGCCAGCAGCCGC
rnacentral:rRNA from 1 species